rnacentral:rRNA from 1 species
GAUGAACGCUGGCGGCGUGCCUAACACAUGCAAGUCGAGCGAACCCUUUGGGGUGAGCGGCGGACAGGUGAGUAACGCGUGGGUAGCCUGCCCUAUACACACGGAUAACGUACCGAAAGGUACGCUAAUACGGGAUAAAGUUGUUGGAUGGCAUCUUCUAACAAUCAAAGCUCCGGCGGUAUAGGAUGGACCCGCGUCUGAUUAGCUAGUUGGUGAGGUAAUGGCUCACCAAGGCGACGAUCAGUAGCCGACCUGGGAGGGUGAUCGGCCACACUGGAACUGAGACACGGUCCAGACUCCUACGGGAGGCAGCAGUGGGGAAUAUUGCACAAUGGGCGAAAGCCUGAUGCAGCAACGCCGCGUGAGCGAUGAAGGUCUUCGGAUCGUAAAGCUCUGUCCUCAAGGAAGAUAAUGACGGUACUUGAGGAGGAAGCCCCGGCUAACUACGUGCCAGCCGCCGCCGUAA